ensembl:lincRNA Gm12762 predicted gene 12762
CCCCUCGCUCCCGGCCCAGUGACUCAGCAUCUCACGCAGCCCAGCACUGCUCUGCAGGCUGUAGGCGUGCGCUCCGGCUUUUCCGCCCACCACCAGUACAUUCCACUCAGCCCCCCAUGGCAGCCCACGCUCCACGGUCACUCUUGUCGGGCAGGCUCAAAUCAAGGCCUAAUCCGGCCAUAUACUCUUGCCUCAGCUUCCUCAUCUUUAGGACGAGUCCUGAGUUCAAAUCCCAGCAACCACAUCCGUAAGGAGAUCCGACUCCCUCUUCUGGAGUGUCUGAAGACAGCUACAGUGUACUUACAUAUAGUAAAUAAAUUCUUAAAAAAAAAAAAAAAGGUUGUGCUGAAUUGAAUACAUGAAUGAAUGAAAGAAGCAAGCGGAUCCGGCACGAGAAACUCCGCCUCUGCCCUUCAAGUCACUUCCGAACAGAAGCCAGCCAAGGUUCAUUGCAAGUGGCCACACUUGUGUUACAGAGAGGCCAGCA